ensembl:lncRNA
GUGAUCUAUUAGUAGGGCUCACAGGCACACUCAGGGUUUUAAAUAUGCCUACAGAGCCACAUAACACUAAGAAAUCCUUCACAUCUUGUUUUAAAAAACAGCACAAUGCUGUCAGUUUUAUCAGACUCCAUUCCUCCUUCCUAAAUACUUCAGCGUAUAAGUAAACAAAGGGAAAAGGAGGUGGGGGGGGAUGCAGAAACAAAAGCUAACGUGCAAAUCCAUCAUCUUACCCACUCCUUUCCUCGCGACUGGAGGCUGCGGGAACCGCUGGCUCAGCCCGCGGCGUUUCUUUUCCCACCUGUGAAGCCCGCUGAACUGACGGUGGUUAUUAAAAACAAGAGUGCAUCUCGAAAAUCAGCCCUGAAUGGGGUUGCUGAUGGCGGUUUUCUUUUUCUAGAGAGCUCCAGGGCUGCUCAGCACACAGGAGGGCGAGGCCUCACAGCUUGUCAGAAGACCCAGCUGUGCAGAGGCCGGGCGAAAGGAGAAAGUGGGCUCCAAUGACGCCUGUUAGAGCUUUAAUCCUCAGCUGUGACACAUGGAGGGAGCUAUGAACAGGAAACUCAGAGCUGGGCCGCCAGCCAGAAACAUUCAGAAAACGUGCCAAGCCCUUUCGAAAUACCACACUCUCCACUGAACACUCACUGCUAACAGUUCACAGGCUGUCUCUCUUCUCAAGUGACGGAGCCAUAGACCCGGGCCAUCCAGUCUGUCAGAGUUCCCGUCAUCAGAGUCUGAACCAGUCAAAGCCAGGCCUGGAUCUCCCACCUCCUCCCUCUUCUCCUCCAGAUCCUCCUCCUAACGACAUCCACAGAUGUGAGCUCCCAGCAAUACCGAAGGACCCUUCCUUCAAGCUUGUGUAUGUUUCAGAUGGAGGAUCUCUUCCUAAUGCACCCACUGCCUCUGCCACAUGCCCUGGGGACCCUGCAGGGAUCUCUUGAAGCAUCCAGGAGGGGAGGAGACCCACUGGUCAUCCCUGGACUCAGGGGGAUUAGGGGAGAUGGGGUCCCAGCCCGAGCCUCUGGCUCCCACUUGGAGCCGCUUGAUCCCAUCCAUGAGAGAGGGGGCUGCCGAACCCCUCCUCUGACUAUCUCUCAGGGGCUCCCCUGCACCCCACACCUGGAUUCAUGUUCUCAACACAACCCAGGUCCCACCUAUCAGAGCCCUACUCAUAGUCUGAAACACAAGGGCCAAACUGGCCAAAGCUUAUAUUCUGGUACCCAAGGCCCACCCCCAGCAGGCUCUGCACACCUCUCCACCUUGUCCCCACUGCCCUUCAAAAGAAUUCUCUGUGCCCACUCAGAUGGGCCACCACUGACUCCAGAAG